rfam:Dipodomys ordii contig_55463, whole genome shotgun sequence.
GGGAAGGUGGCUCAGUGGUAGAGCACUUGCCUUGCAUGCAUGAGGUCCUGGGUUCGAUUCGAUUCCUCA